rnacentral:rRNA from 1 species
GACGAACGCUGGCGGCGUGCUUAACACAUGCAAGUCGAACGAAGAGCGACGGAAGCUUGCUUCUAUCAAUCUUAGUGGCGAACGGGUGAGUAACGCGUAAUCAACCUGCCCUUCAGAGGGGGACAACAGUCGGAAACGACUGCUAAUACCGCAUACGAUCUAAUCUCGGCAUCGAGGAUGGAUGAAAGGUGGCCUCUACAUGUAAGCCAUCACUGAAGGAGGGGAUUGCGUCUGAUUCGCUAGUUGGAGGGGUAACGGCCCAGCAAGGCGAUGAUCAGUAGCCGGUCUGAGAGGAUGGACGGCCACAUUGGGACGGAGACACGGCCCAGACUCCUGCGGGAGGCAGCAGUGGGGAAUCUUCCGCAAUGGACGAAAGUCUGACGGAGCAACGCCGCGUGAGUGAUGACGGCCUUCGGGUUGUGAAGCUCUGUUAAUCGGGACGAAAGGCCUUCUUGCGAAUAGUGGGAAGGAUUGACGGUACCGGAAUAGAAAGCCACGGCUAACUACGUG